rfam:Parcubacteria group bacterium CG1_02_40_25 cg1_0.2_scaffold_1496_c, whole genome shotgun sequence.
AAGAAAAAUAAUAAGGGCGUAUGGUGAAUGCCUUGACGUCAAGAGCCGAUGAAGGACGUGGCGUGUCUGCGAUAAGCCCCGGUGAGGUGACAAGCGACCUUUGACCCGGGGAUGUCCGAAUGUGGCAACACAACGUAGAGCAAUCUAUGUUAUGUGUCAGCAAUGACACAUGGGUACCCGCUGAAGUGAACCAUCUCAGUAAGCGGAGGAAAAUAAAACAAUCGUCGUGCUUGCACGACAAAUUCCCCAAGUAGCGGCGAGCGAAAAGGGAACAGCCCAGAGUUUAUUUACUUCGGUAAAUAAGCAGUUAUAAGAAAAUUUCUUUCUUUAAUGAUACAAGAUAAAAAACUUGUCUAACCAAAGGUCUCUGGAAAGAGCCGCCAUAGCGGGUAAUAGCCCCGUAGGUAAAAGAUGUUUUUAAUCUUGGUUAUUUUCUUGAGUACCUUGGGACAAGAUUAUCCCAUGGGAAGUCGGGAGUACUAUACUUCCAAGGCUAAAUACUCUUGAUGAUCGAUAGUGAACAAGUACCGUGAGGGAAAGGUGAAAAGCAGCCCGGUGAGGGCGAUGAAAUAGAACCUGAAACCAUAUGCCUACAAAGAGACGGAGCUGUCACGGUUUACUGUGACGGUGACGUCGUGCCUAUUGAAGAAUGAGCCAACGAGUUAUUGUCAAUUACUAUCUAAUCCCGCAUAGGGAGAAGGUUUAGCGAAAGCGAGUCUUAAUAGGGCGUAGAUAAUUUCGAUUCUGCUAUCUUUUUUGACCCAAAAAAACUUUGAAACUUAAAGUAGAUUAAUUGAGAGUUGAAAAAUUUAAUUUUCAAUUUCUAAUUCUCAAUUUCUAAACAAUUUUCAAUGACGUAAUUUCUAAUUUUCAAUGCGCGACUUACGUUUAGAAAUUAAAAAUUGAUUGAUUAAAAAUUGUUUAAAAAUUAGAAAUUAAAAAUUAGAAAUUUUGAUUCUACGAAUUUAUUUUAAAUAACAAAUCUUUUAAUUUAGAGUCAAAAACGAUAGCAGAUAGAAACUAUCAAGUAGUUGGUAAUAAACCCGAAACCAGGCGAGCUAUUUAUGACCAGGGUGAACUUUGGUGAACAACCAAAGGGAGGCCCGCACCCACUAGCCGUGCAACACUAGGGGAUGAGUUAUGAAUAGAGGUGAAAUGCCAAUCGAGCCUGGUAAUAGCUGGUUCUCCCCGAAAUAGCUUUAGGGUUAGCGUCUGAAAGCAACUUGUGGGGUAGAGCACUGAAUGGAUGCGGCUGGGCUUCUGCCUACUUCAUCCAAUCAAACUCCGAAUACACAAGCCAAGUUUCAGGCAGUCAGAACGUGGGGGCUAAGCUCCAUGCUCAAGAGGGAAACAGCCCAUGAUCACCAUCUAAGGUCCCUAAAAUAAACUAAGUGGUAAAGGUAGUCAGAUUUCUCUGACAAUUAGGAGGUUGGCUUAGAAGCAGCCAUCCUUUAAAGAAAGCGUAACAGCUCACUACUUAAGAGAUCUGGCGCUUAAGAUUUAACGGGGCUAAGUUUAUUACCGAAGAUGUGAACCGAUCAGAUAUCAGAGAUCAGAUUUCAGACUUCAGAUAUCAGCAAAAUUAAAUUUAACUGAUUUCCGACAUCUGACAUCCGAAAUCUGAUAUCUGAUCGGCGGUAGGGGAGUGUCCUUGACACUGCGAAGCCAAAGGCGUAAGCCAUGGUGGAGAGUCAAGGAGUAAGAAUGUUGGCACAAGUAACCGCAAUGCCGGUGAGAGACCGGCACACCGAAAGUCCAAGGAUUCCUUGGCAAUGACCAUCAUCCAAGGGUUAGUCGAUCCUAAGGUUAACCUCCGAUUCGUUGGAGGCAAAGCCGAUGGCAAGCUGGUUAAUAUUCCAGCACUGCUUUAUUUAUGUUUUAAAAAUGACGAAGUUUAGUAGCUUGAUCAGAUUAUUGGAUUUCUGUCCCUUGCCUAAGAUUUUUCAAGGGUUGGGGGGACGCCAAACUUCGGUGCGGCUAACUCAAGUGAGCAAGCUUCCAAGAAAAGUUUUUAAAAUACCUAAAUAAAUAGGGCAACCGUACCGCAAAACCAACACAGGUGGACUGGUCGAGUAGACUAAGGUGAACGGGUGAUUCCUCGUUAAGGAACUCGGCAAACAAGCUAGGCGUAAGUUCGCAAGAUGCCUUACCUGCUAAUCAGAUUUUGGAGUUUUAUCGUUUGUCAUUCCCGCGAAGGCGGGAAUCCAUUAACACAAUAAUACUAAGAGGACAAAUAAUGACUAAUUAUAUUUAUAGUGUUGUUUCUGUCGAUGCUGGUGAUUUGCCUCAUUAUAUGGAGAGGAACUGAUAAAGAACAUAUUAGAUCAAAUGGAGGGGAAGCUAAAAGGACCCAGCCCAGAAAUGUUCAACACACAAAUUACUAUCUAAAAAAAAGGGGGGUGAUUAAAUGUUAUGGGGCGAUCAAUGGAUUUGUAAAUGUGGUUGGCAUAACUUCGUAUUAAGAAAAAAAUGCAGACAUUGUGACGGCGAAAAAGAAAAGUUCUCUGUUGGAGAAGAAGAUUGGCAAACUGUUAUAGACAACACUAUUAAAGAACAAUCAGAAGAUCUUGAAAUCAUUCCAGACAGUGAAUUUAUUAAAGUUUAGACCAAGCCAAUUAAAAAUAAGGUUGCGGGUUUAAAUCCUGCCGCCCCAGCCGAUUUUAUAAUAAUCUCCAAAUAGGCGAGCUAGUUAUAAUAAUUAGUUCGCCCUUCAAAAUCUGAUUAGCGGGUCGCAGCUAAAGAUUCCCUGGCGACUGUUUACCAAAAACACAGGUCUCUGCUAAAGCGAAAACUGAUGUAUAGAGACUGACGCCUGACCAAUGCCGGAACGUUAACGGCUAAGGUGGAUGUUGGAUUUAUCCAGUGUCUGCUAAGGCCCGAAGCGCCGGUGAAUGUCGGCCGUAACUAUGAAACAAAACCGUUGUAGUUACGCAAAUAAAUCUUGCUAUAUGCUGGAAUAGCUGUGUAUCUUGAGCUACUUAUUCUGGAGUCCCGACUUUAGUCGGAGACAGAUAAGUAACAAUGCUUCACAAGUGCAGCCAAUCAGCAGGAAAGACAGAUUCUGACGUUCGAACAUCUGAAAUCAGAAAUCUGAAUCCCCAGAGACUACACGCAAGACUCUUAAAAGUCAUUAGAAUGCCGACAGAUUUUUAAGAGAUGAUAUAGUCCGAUCUUAUAGGCGACUAUAAGCUAACAUAGACCGAACGGUCCUAAGGUAGCGAAAUUCCUUGGCAGGUAACUUCUGUCCCGCACGAAAGGCGUAACGACUGGGGAGCUGUCUCAACGAGGAGCCCGGUGAACAUGCAAUACCGGUAAAGAUGCCGGUUACCUGCGGCAAGACGAAAAGACCCCGGGAGCUUUACUGUAUCCUGAUAUUGAACUAAGUUUUAAGAUGCGUAGCAUAGAGAGGAGACUUUGAGAUUCUAUUCUCGGAUAGGGCGGAGUCGCCAGUGAAAUACUCUUCUUUUUGAAGCUUUGUUCUAAUCCCGCACUUUCCGUUCUUUAUAAAUCUUGAUAGAAUAUAAAACUAUGUAUUACGUGUAUUUUCUUAAAAAUACUCGGACAAAAAGGAUUUAUAUUAGUUAUACUAAUGAUCUAAAAAGGCGAUUCGCACAACACUCGCCAAGAGACAAAUGUUGGAUUCUUGUAUUUUAUGAAGCUUAUCGCAACGAGGAAGACGCAAGAGAAAGAGAAAAAAAGUUGAAGAAUUAUGAAAAUGCUUUAGGUCAUUUGAAAAAUCGCAUCAAGAGAAGUACCAUGUUGUAAAGAAUGGAAAGUGCGGGAGACAGUUUCAGGUGGGCAGUUUGAGUGGGGCGCUCGCCUCCUAAAAAGUAACGGAGGCGUUUAUAAGGUCGGCUAGGUACGGAUGGAAAUCGUACCGAUAGGGCAAAGCCACAAGCCGGCUUUACUGCAAGACAGACAUGUCGCGCAGUUACGAAAGUAGAACUUAGUGAACCGACCCUAAUCGUUGACUUCUGAUUGGCAGUUUACUGCUGGUUAGUUGUCAGCGCGCUUAUAGGCGCGGGGAAGAUCAUCGGAUAAAAGCUACCCCGGGGAUAACAGGCUAGUAGUGCCCGCGAGUCCAUAUCUACGGCACUGUUCGGCACCUCGAUGUCGGCUCAUCUCAUCCUGGGACUGGAGAAAACAUAACUUCUCUCCUUUAUAGAAAUAUAAAGGUAAUAAACAAGCCCAAAAUGGGGAAAGCCAUUGUUAAGCAACUUGACAUAUUUUGACGUAUUCGCAGGUUCCAGGUAUAAUUGCUUAAUAAAGGUCAAUCCCAUGAGAAAAAUACUUUCUAAAAUUGAUCGAGCAUAUUUGGCGGGUCUGAUUGAUGGCGAUGGCGCUAUUAUGGCAUGCAUUGAAAAGCACAAUGAAAAGAAAUUUGGCUUUAGAGUACGCGUUGCCAUAAAAAUCAGCCAAAAUAAUAAUGCCAUACUAAAGCGGUCCAAACGCACAAUAGGGUUCGGCCACAUCAGACACAACCGCACUCAAUACAAAUGGUAUAGCUUAGAUCAGUUAGCAAUAGAAAAAUUCCUUAAAUUAAUAGUUAUCUACUUAAAGAUUAAACAAAAACAGGCUAAAUUAGCUAUUAAAAUUAUCGGAACAAAAAUUUUAACUGUUUCUAAUUUGAUCAAAAUUGCUAAAAUGGCUGAUCAAUUAUCGAAAUUUAACGUUCGUUCAGCAGGAAGACGUAAAAAUUUUGCUCGAAUGAUAGAGGAAAGUGUUUCUCCUAACGACUAAUUCUGUAAAUUACAGAUGCGAUUAAGGGUUUAAACUUUAAUCAUACGGCUUGCAUCUAAGUUUUGAUUUUUCAAAAUACGAUGAAGGUAUAGUCUAGCAUAUUGGUAACAAUAUGAUUCACGAGGCCCCAAGGGUUUGGCUGUUCGCCAAUUAAAGAGAUACGCGAGCUGGGUUCAAACCGUCGUGAGACAGGUUGGUCUCUAUCUGCCGCAGGCGUUGAUACUUGAGGGAAGUCCCUGAUAGUACGAGAGGACCUCAGGGAAGAAACCUCUGGUCUACCAGUUGUCGUGCCAACGGCACUGCUGGGUAGCUAUGUUUCGUUGUGAUAAGCGCUGAAAGCAUCUAAGCGCGAAGCCAUACCCAAGAUAAGGUAUCAUUUAAGAUCGGUCAGAGAUUAUGACCUUGAUAGGGCGCAGGUGUAAGGUCAGCAAUGAUUUUAGCCGAGCGCUACUAAUUGAUCAAAUUUUUUCUUAA